rnacentral:rRNA from 1 species
UAGUAAUGAAUAGGUAACGUACCCUGUGCAUCAGGAUAGCGUCAGUUGCUUCGGCAACUUUCCGAAAGGGGCGGUAAUACUGAAUAAUGUCAUCUUACGAUAGUGGGAUGACCAAAGAUUUAUCGGCAUAGGAGCGGCCUAUUUCCUAUCAGCUUGUUGGUGAGGUAAUAGCUCACCAAGGCUAAGACGGGUAGCGGGACUGAGAGGUUGACCCGCAACAUCGGGACUGAGACACUGCCCGGACCUCCACGGAGGGCUGCAGUAACGAAUAUUGCGCAAUGGGCGAAAGCCUGACGCAGCGACGCCGCGUGUAGGAGGAAGUCCCUCGGGAUGUAAACUACUGUCAGGGUAAAGAAAGUUCGCUCCGGCGAAUUGAUCUACCCCAGAGGAAGUCACGGCUAACUUCGUGCCAGCAGCCGCGGUAAGACGAAGGUGGCAAGCGUUGUUCGGUAUCACUGGGCUUAAAGCGUAUGCAGGCGGAAUGGACAGCGUCAUGUGAAAUCCCUCAGCUCAACUGAGGAAUUGCAUGGCGAACUGCCAUUCUUGAGGCAAGUAGGGGUGCAUAGAACUCUUGGUGGAGCGGUGGAAUGCGUAGAUAUCAAGAGGAAUGCCGAUGGGGAAAUCAGUGCACUAGGCUUGUCCUGACGCUCAGAUACGAAAGCGUGGGGAGCGAACGGGAUUAGAUACCCCGGUAGUCCACGCCGUAAACGAUGUCUACUAGGUUGUGGUGGUUCUGACACCGGCACGGCCGAAGCAAAAGUGUUAAGUAGACCGCCUGGGGAGUACGGUCGCAAGGCUAAAACUCAAAGGAAUUGACGGGGGCUCACACAAGCGGUGGAGCAUGUGGAUUAAUUCGAAGCAACGCGCAGAACCUUACCUGGGUUUGACAUGCUUGGAUGCUUGCCUGGAAACAGGUUAAGUUACCUUUCGGGGUGAAACUUGCACAGGUGCUGCAUGGCUGUCGUCAGCUCGUGUCGUGAGACGUCGG